CCUACGGGGGGCUGCAGUAGGGAAUAUUGCUCAAUGGGGGAAACCCUGAAGCAGCAACGCCGCGUGGAGGAUGAAGGUUUUAGGAUUGUAAAAUCCUUUUGUUAGAGAAGAUAAUGACGGUAUCUAACGAAUAAGCAACGGCUAACUCCGUGCCAGCAGCCGCGGUAAUACGGAGGGUGCCAGCGUUACUCGGAAUCACUGGGCGUAAAGAGCGCGUAGGCGGGAUAGCAAGUCAGAUGUGAAAUCCUAUGGCUUAACCAUAGAACUGCAUUUGAAACUGUUAUGCUAGAGUAUGGGAGAGGUAGGUGGAAUUCGUGGUGUAGGGGUGAAAUGCGUAGAUAUCAAGAGGAAUACGGAUUGCGAAGGCGGCCUGCUAGAACAUAACUGACGCUGAUGCACGAAAGCGUGGGGAGCAAACAGGAUUAGAUACCCUUGUAGUC
rnacentral:rRNA from 1 species